rnacentral:rRNA from 1 species
UACGGAGGGUGCGAGCGUUGUCCGGAAUCACUGGGCGUAAAGGGCGCGUAGGCGGUCUGUUAAGCGUGUGGUGAAAGCUCGGGGCUCAACCCCGAGUCUGCCAUGCAAACUGGUGGACUUGAGCACUGUAGAGGCAGGUGGAAUUCCGGGUGUAGCGGUGGAAUGCGUAGAGAUCCGGAAGAACACCGGUGGCGAAGGCGGCCUGCUGGGCAGUUGCUGACGCUGAGGCGCGACAGCGUGGGGAGCAAACAGG